UAGAAAAUACUAUUCUUUCAGUAAUAAUUUCUAUAGUUCGUUACUAGAGAAGUGUCUCCGAACAUUUAGAGCACCUGAAACUACAGAGAGGAGAUGCAAUGUUUUCUCCUGAGGGGGAAGCUGGCUUUUGGUGUUGCUUUUGUGACUGGUAAUAUUUCUUGAUGAUUGUUCUUCUCUUCCUUUGGAAGAGGAAGAGGGAGCGAACACAGUCUGAAUGGU